GAGGCUGAUGAGGAGGAUUUUGAUGGGGAUGAAGAUGAUGAAGAGAAGGGAUCUGAAGAUGAUGAGGAUGGCGACCAAGAUGAUGAUGAAGAGGAGGAUGAUGAGGAUGAUAGUUAAUCCCUUGUAGCUUCUUUCAUUUUGGCUUCCACCACUUGCUGUGGCGAGUGCAAGGCAAGCUUAUGACUAUUGAAGGGCUCUUGACUCAAGCGGGCUGACUUUCGAUCAUGCUUUAAGCUUUGUAGUUGUCAAUUUUUGUACUUGGGGAGUUUCAUGAGCCCUAGUUAUAGCUGGGGGCGUGUCUAAAGCUAGGAGUUUAUUUACUGAUGUGGGUAUUAAAUGUUUGAUCUUGGACUUAUAGCAUCUCCGUAUCAAGAAUCCAGGACUUUGUAUGGGCAGCUGCUGCAUCAUUUUUUAUGAACUUGUUUAGUUUUACAUCAAUUUAAUCUGA